GAUCAUGGCUCAGAUUGAACGCUGGCGGCAUGCCUUACACAUGCAAGUCGAACGGUAACGGGCCUUCGGGUGCCGACGAGUGGCGAACGGGUGAGUAAUGCAUCGGAACGUACCUUCAGUGGGGAUAACGUAGCGAAAGUUACGCUAAUACCGCAUAUUCUGUGAGCAGGAAAGCAGGGGAUCGCAAGACCUUGCGCUGAUUGAGCGGCCGAUGUCAGAUUAGCUAGUUGGUGAGGUAAAGGCUCACCAAGGCGACGAUCUGUAGCGGGUCUGAGAGGAUGAUCCGCCACACUGGAACUGAGACACGGUCCAGACUCCUACGGGAGGCAGCAGUGGGGAAUUUUGGACAAUGGGGGCAACCCUGAUCCAGCCAUGCCGCGUGAGUGAAGAAGGCCUUCGGGUUGUAAGGCUCUUUCGGCCGGGAAGAAAUCGCAUGGGUUAAUACCCUGUGCGGAUGACGGUACCGGCAUAAGAAGCACCGGCUAACUACGUG
rnacentral:rRNA from 1 species